rnacentral:rRNA from 1 species
UGGGGAAUAUUGCACAAUGGUCGCAAGCCUGAUGCAGCCAUGCCGCGUGUAUGAAGAAGGCCUUCGGGUUGUAAAGUACUUUCAGUCGGGAGGAAGGUGUCAAGGUUAAUAACCUUUGCUCAUUGACGUUACCCGCAGAAGAAGCACCGGCUAACUCCGUGCCAGCAGCCGCGGUAAUACGGAGGGUGCAAGCGUUAAUCGGAAUUACUGGGCGUAAAGCGCACGCAGGCGGUUUGUUAAGUCAGAUGUGAAAUCCCCGGGCUCAACCUGGGAACUGCAUCUGAUACUGGCAAGCUUGAGUCUAGUAGAGGGGGGUAGAAUUCCAGGUGUAGCGGUGAAAUGCGUAGAGAUCUGGAGGAAUAACGGUGGCGAAGGCGGACCCCUGGACGAAGACUGACGCUGAGGUGCGAAAGCGUGGGGAGCAAACAGG